GGGGGUGUGGCGCAAUUGGUUAGCGUACCAGACUGUCGAUCUGGAGGUUGCGGGUUCGAUCCCCGUCACCCUCGCCA
rnacentral:tRNA from 1 species